UGUCUUAAGACUAAGCCAUGCAUGUGUUAGUAUAAGCUUGUAAAAGUGAAACCGCGAAUGGCUCAUUAAACCAGCUAUGAUUUGCUGGCCGAGACGUGAUACAUGGAUAACUGUGGUAAUUCUAUAGCUAAUACAUGCAGCCGAGUCGUGUGUGCAGUCGCACUUGUGCGGUUUGCACCGCGACACUUUUAUUGGCCUAGAAAACCGACAACGUUUGCGCCGAAAGGCGUAAACGUUGUAUCUGUCCAGUGGAAUCACGAUAACAUUGUAGUGAAUCGUACGGUCCUGCACCGACGAUGCGCCUUAUAAAUGUCUGACCUAUCAGCUGUGGACGGUUUGGUAGUGGCCGACCGUGGCGUUGACGGGUGACGGGGAAUCUGGGUUCGAUUCCGGAGAGGGAGCCUGAGAAACGGCUACCACAUCUAAGGAAGGCAGCAGGCACGUAACUUACCCACUCCCAGCUCAGGGAGGUAGUGACAAUAAAUACCUUACAGAAAUACCGUUCAGCGGUAUUUCUCAAACGGAAUGAGUACAAUAUGAAAAAUUUAACGAGAACCGACUGGAGGGCAAGUCUGGUGCCAGCAGCCGCGGUAAUUCCAGCUCCAGUAGCAUAUAUUAAAGCUGUUGCGGUUAAAAAGCUCGUAGUUGGAUAUCAAUGUGUGCUUGGUUGUGUAUUCCCGUCUUGUGCGGUGCGUGCGUUGUCGGUCGGGUGGCGUUCGGUUCGUCGCUUGGCUGCGCGUGCGCAUAGCGCGUGUCGGGAAGGAAAUACCGGCCGGCCGCAUAGAACUUGGCCAGUUGAUUGGCUGGCGGGCCUGUUAAACGACGGGCCUGUUGGCAGCUGGCGCAAAUACUUUGAUUAAAUUUGAAUGCUCAAAGUAUGCUAUCAUGUGCUUGAAUAUAUUAUCAUGGAAUUGGAGAAUAUGUCCCUGACUGUUACUAUGGUUUGGUUUUCGGCAGUCGAAGGGAAAUGAUUAAUAGGGACUGACGGAGGCAUUCGUAUUGCGGCGCUAGGGGUGAAAUCCAGUGACCGUCGCAAGACGAACUACUGCGAAAGCAUUUGCCGAGAAUGUUUUCAUUAGUCAAGAACGAAAGUUAGAGGUUCGAAGGCGAUCAGAUACCGCCCUAGUUCUAACCGUAAACAAUGUCGACCAGCAAUCCGCGUCGGUCAUCUCUCGGCUACGCGGGCGGCUUCACCCGGGGAAACCAGAGUUUUCUGACUCCGGGGGGAGUAUGGUUGCAAAACUUAAACUUAAAGGAAUUGACGGAAGGGCACCACCAGGAGUGGAGCUUGCGGCUUAAUUUGACUCAACACGGAGCAACUUACCAGGCCCGGACACUAGAAGGAUUGACAGACUGAGAGCUCUUUCUUGAUUGAGUGGGUGNUGGUGCAUGGCCGUUCUUAGUUGGUGNAGURAUUUGUCUGGUUUAUUCCGAUAACGAACGAGACUCUAGCCUACUAGUCUGGUAUGCUUUCUGCUUUUGUUUUGUGCAGUGCACCGGACCGUGUUUGUGUGCGUUGUGUGUCGUGUGCGCAUAGUAUGCGUGAGUGUGCUUGCGUGUCGGGGCCGGCGUGCACGAGUGCGAAAUCUGUGUGCGUUGUUCGAGGCGAAUAGAUUGUCAUACUUCUUAGCGGGAUUGUCGGUUGUCCCCCGAAAACCGACAGAGAAAGAGCAAUAACAGGUCUGUGAUGCCCUUAGAUGUUCUGGGCUGCCCGCGUGUUACACUGAAGUGGUCAGCACGGUUGUCUUUUUCCGAAAGGAAUGGGUAAGCGUGUAAGCCACUCCGUGAUGGGAAUUGAGAGUUGCAAUUAUCUCUCAUGAACGAGGAAUUCCAAGUAGGCGCAGGUCACUAGCCUGCGCCGAUUAAGUCCCUGCCCUUUGUACACACCGCCCGUCGCUACUACCGAUGGACGAUUUGGUGAGGUCGUUGAGAGUGGCUGCUUAGCUUCGGCUUUGUGGUCGCAAAAACGCCCAAACUUGGUCGUCUAGAGGAAGUAAAAGUCGUAACAAGGUUUCCGUAGGUGAACCUGCGGAAGGAUCAUUA
rnacentral:rRNA from 1 species